rnacentral:rRNA from 1 species
AAUAGAUACCCAGGUAGUCCACGCCCUAAACGAUGUCGACUGGUUGUUGGGGGGUUUUGACACUCUCAGUAACGAAGCUAACGCGUGAAGUCGACCGCCUGGGGAGUACGGCCGCAAGGUUAAAACUCAAAGGAAUUGACGGGGACCCGCACAAGCGGUGGAUUAUGUGGAUUAAUUCGAUGCAACGCGAAAAACCUUACCUACCCUUGACAUGUCCGGAAGGCUGCUGAAAGGCGGCUGUGCCCGAAAGGGAACUGGAACACAGGUGCUGCAUGGCUGUCGUCAGCUCGUGUCGUGAGAUGUUGGGUUAAGUCCCGCAACGAGCGCAACCCUUGUCAUUAGUUGCUACAUUCAGUUGGGCACUCUAAUGAGACUGCCGGUGACAAACCGGAGGAAGGUGGGGAUGACGUCAAGUCCUCAUGGCCCUUAUGGGUAGGGCUUCACACGUAAUACAAUGGCGCGUACAGAGGGCUGCUAAGCCGCAAGGUAGAGCCAAUCCCUUAAAGCGCGUCGUAGUCCGGAUUGCAGUCUGCAACUCCG